UACAGAGGUCCCAAGCGUUGUUCGGAUUCAUUGGGCGUAAAGGGCGCGUAGGCGGCAGGCCAAGCGUGCGGUGAAAGUCCGGGGCUCAACCCCGGAUCUGCCGUGCGGACUGGUUUGCUAGAGCACUGUAGAGGCGAGUGGAAUUCCGGGUGUAGCGGUGGAAUGCGUAGAGAUCCGGAAGAACACCGGUGGCGAAGGCGGCUACCUGGACAGAAACUGACGCUGAGGCGCGAAAGCUAGGGGAGCAAACAGG
rnacentral:rRNA from 1 species